UACGGGGGGAGCAAGCGUUGUUCGGAUUUACUGGGCGUAAAGGGCGCGUAGGCGGUCAGCACAGGUCAGUUGUGAAAUCUCCGGGCUUAACUCGGAAAGGUCAACUGAUACUGUGCGACUAGAGUGCGGAAGGGGCAACUGGAAUUCUCGGUGUAGCGGUGAAAUGCGUAGAUAUCGAGAGGAACACCUGCGGCGAAGGCGGGUUGCUGGGCUGACACUGACGCUGAUGUGCGAAAGCUAGGGGAGCGAACGGG
rnacentral:rRNA from 1 species